rnacentral:rRNA from 1 species
AUGCACCUUCCUACUCUACACUUGAUCAUCAUCACGCUCCUGAUUCCUUGGCCCUUCAGUUCAGUGCUUCUCUGCGCACCUGACAGUGUGCUUGUCCCUGGCAUGUGUCUUACUCCUGGAAAAACUCUCACCUCGGAUCAAGGUUCGUUCGCCUUAGGCUUCUUUACCCCCUCAAACUCAACUAAAAAUAUGUAUGUUGGCAUAUGGUUCAACGAUAUCCCAUUGCACACCGUUGUCUGGGUUGCCAACCGCGAUAAUCCGAUCACCGAUGCUUCAUCCGCGGUGCUUUCUAUGACCAACAGCUCGAGCCUUGUGUUGUCUCAAACCAAUGGCCGCCACAUACUUUGGAUGGAAAACACAAUUACUGGCGGCAACUCUUCAGCCAAACUUCUCAACAGUGGCAAUCUUGUAGUCCUAUCAUCAGACGGUGCCAUGUUAUGGCAGAGCUUCGAAAACCCAAGCGACGUCGUCCUUGCUGGUAUGCCUAUGCGGGACACCCACAAGACACACCCACCAUGGCGGAUCAUCUCUUGGAAGGGCCCUGAUGACCCGUCAAAAGGCAGGUUCUCUGCUGGGAAAGACCUUGCCACUCCCCUACAGUACUUCGUCUGGGAUGGGUCAGUGCCAUACCGGCGUGCUCCAGUGUGGAAUGGCUAUGUAUACUCCAACAUGGAACUGCAGACUGUUAGUUCGCUCAUGUAUUUGACAAUUAACAAGGGCACGGACGAUGAGACCUAUGCAACAUUUGGACUAUCAGAUGGCUCCUCCAGGAUAUUUUACAAGGUUGACUACUCCGGAAAGACAAUGCUGUUGAGAUGGAAUACCAGCUUGACAGAUUGGACCGCCGUUGAACAGUUGCCAGCUUACCAGUGCAAUCUCUAUGGAUAUUGUGGUGCAUAUGGCUACUGCGACAACACAGAGGCAACUCCCACAUGCAAGUGCCUUGAUGGAUUUGACCCUAGUAACAAAACAGAGUGGGUUAGAGGCAAUUUUUCUCAUGGUUGCCGGCGAAAGGAGGAACUGCAGUGUGGUGGAGAGGACAGUUUCUUGACCUUGCCAGCAAUGAAGGUGCCAGACAAAUUUGUACGCCUAUGGAAUAAAAGCUAUGAUGACUGUGCAGUUGAGUGCAGCAAAAAUUGCUCAUGUGUAGCGUAUGCUUAUGCUAAUCUAAGCACCAGCAACAUUGAUGGGGAUGCAACAAGGUGCCUGCUGUGGACCGGGGAGCUGAUUGACGUGGAGAAGGGUGGCGCCGUCGGCAAUGAGAACCUGUAUCUCCGGCUUACUGCCUUGUCAAGCAAAGGGCGAAAGAGCAUCGUAAUAAAAGUUAUACCAGCAAUUUCAGCAAUUGUGUUGCUGAUACUUCUAUUGGCAUGCCUGGUAUGGUUCCGCAAGUUUAAAGGCAAACAUGACAAAAAAGGAAGACUGAAGAGACUGAUGAUGGGGGAUUUGCGCAUUAGUGAUGGACUUGGAGAGGAGACUCAUGAAUUUCCGUUUAUUAGAUUUGAGGAAAUAGUCGAUGCAACAAACAACUUCUCUAUGUACAAUUUACUCGGAGAAGGCGGCUUUGGCAAAGUUUACAAGGGGCUCUUACAUGGCAACAAAGAAGUUGCUGUUAAAAGGCUGAGUAGAGGUUCUAGGCAGGGGGGCGAUGAAAAGCUACUUAUUUAUGAGUAUCUACCAAACAAAAGCCUGGACAUCUUCCUUUUCAAUUCUGAAAAGAAGCCAAUGCUUCAUUGGCCGACACGAUUCAAUAUAUUAAAAGGAGUGGCUAGAGGGCUACUCUAUCUCCAUCAAGAUUCAAGACUGAUGAUAAUUCAUAGGGAUCUCAAAACAAGCAACAUUUUGCUAGAUGGAGACAUGAAUCCCAAGAUAUCUGAUUUUGGCAUGGCAAGAAUCUUUGGUGGAGACGAGCAACAAGAAAACACUAACCGAGUUGUCGGAACAUACGGUUAUAUGUCUCCGGAAUAUGCAAUGGAAGGCCUCUUUUCUGUGAAGUCUGAUGUCUAUAGCUUCGGGGUAUUGCUCUUGGAAACUGUAAGUGGUCUAAGGAUAAGCUCAAUGCAGAACAUCAAGGAGUUCCCCAACCUUAUAAUAUAUGCAUGGAGUCUAUGGAGGGAAGGGCUGGCAAAAGAUCUUGUGGAUCCAUCUGUUUCAGAGAGCUGCUCAGAUGAAGAAGUUUUGUGUUGCAUUCAUGUCGGGCUCUUGUGUGUUCAGGAUGACCCGGAUGCGAGACCACCAAUGUCAACUAUUUUAACAACCUUGGAGAGUAGAAGCACACCACUUGCAACGCCUGAUAAGCCGCUGUAUUUUUCUCGGAGAAAUAGGUAG